rnacentral:rRNA from 1 species
CAGUAGCCGCGGUAAUACGAACCGUGCGAACGUUAUUCGGAAUCACUGGGCUUAAAGCGCGUGUAGGCGGAUGGGAGCGUCGGCCUCUGAAAUCCCCCGGCUCAACCGGGGAAGUGGAGCCGAAACGACCCGUCUGGAGGGACGUAGGGGGACCUGGAACUUCCGGUGGAGCGGUGAAAUGCGUUGAGAUCGGAAGGAACGCCCGUGGCGAAAGCGAGGUCCUGGACGUCUGCUGACGCUGAGACGCGAAAGCCAGGGGAGCGAACGGGAUUAGAUACCCGAGUAGUCCCUGUCUCUUAUA